GCCUUGUGUUGGGUAGUCGCUCCUAUUUUUAGGAGAGGAAAGUCCGGACACUCCCUUGUGUAAACAAGGAGCAGGGUAGCGGGUAACGCCCGUCCGUAGCAAUACGAGAGGUGCGAGCAGAGACGUUGAGUUUAGAAAUAGGCUCAAUACCCCUCGGGGUAAGCUCUUAUAGAAAUAUAAGAGGUGAAACGGCUAAAUCCUUACCUGGGUGCAAGGUCGUGCUCACCAUGUGUGAGAGUGCCGCUUGAUCUGUUUGGUAACAAACACGACAGAUAAAUGGCUAUCGCUACGCUUUGCGUAGUACAGAAUCCGGCUUAUAAGCACAAGGCAAUC
rnacentral:RNase_P_RNA from 1 species